rnacentral:lncRNA from 1 species
GCUUGUCAGGGGAGUUCUGGGAGAUGUAGUUCCUCUUUCUCCUGCCAUCGUGCAUUCCCUCCGCCCCCUCCCCCAACCUCCUCACACACUUCAUCGAUCAACUGCCAGUGUCGUUACCAUCAACAUAAACGACGGUAGUAAAUAAUGGCAGUAUGAUUACAUUCAUACUUUAUGUACCACCCUCUCAACAGUGCUGCAAAGGCUGUUUGGAUAUGGAGGAGGCCAAAGUGGCAAUUACUCAGACUGGCGUCCAAAUCUGGAAAUUCCCACACCAGCAUGUUCUCUCCACUCUGCUCCCUCUUCAGAGGGAAUUGGUUUGCAGGGAUUUAGACUACAGUAAGGCUUCCCCAGAGCUUGCAAACAGGGUUCAUUUACCCUCUAUGCAAACAAGGUCAACAACUCCGGAACUGCAGUAGAAGCAGCAAAGAACAGAAAUAAUUUGAUACUAACAUCCUCAUUCUACAGAAUUUGAGCUUUGCUAAAGAAAACUGAAGUUACUAUCGAGUCUGUUGGUUUGCUUUCCCCUUUCUCCCAUGUUUCAGCCGUUCAGAAUGUCAAUAAUUUACCCUAAGACAACACCAGGGCCUGGGAGUGUCUGUUUAUACUUGUGCACUCGCAAGACGGAGUUCUGGAAUGAGCGAUGAGCUUCCUUAUCAGGUACAGCCAAGGGGCGCCUGGGAGGGAGCAGCUGUCCGACCCUGCCUGACUCACCAGUGUUGCAAUCUGAGAAAUGGAUUCUGGGCCUGUUUAUCUCUGCCCCGGGGCAGGGCCAGGCUUGACCAGAGGGGCCUCUGAUCUCAUAUGCAGCUUCUACAAGGCAAGAAAUAAGCUUGAGAGAAUAUAGUGCUUCCAACGAGACACUAAGAUGAAGCCAGGUUUUUGGCAGAGUGAGUGGAAG